AGAGUUUGAUCAUGGCUCAGGAUGAACGCUGGCGGCGUGCUUAACACAUGCAAGUCGAACGAGAGAAGAUUAGUGCUUGCGCUGAUCCGAUCGAGUGGCGGACGGGUGAGUAACGCGUGGGUAACCUGCCUCAUACAGGGGAAUAACAGUUGGAAACGGCUGCUAAAACCGCAUAAGCGCACAGUAUCGCAUGAUACAGUGUGAAAAACUCCGGUGGUAUGAGAUGGACCCGCGUCUGAUUAGCUAGUUGGUGAGGUAACGGCCACAAGGCAACGAUCAGUAGCCGGCUGAGAGGGUGAACGGCCACAUUGGGACUGGAGACACGGGCCCAAACUCCUACGGGAGGCA
rnacentral:rRNA from 1 species